rnacentral:rRNA from 1 species
UAGGGAAUAUUGGACAAUGGGGGCAACCCUGAUCCAGCCAUGCCGCGUGAGUGAAGAAGGCCCUCGGGUUGUAAAGCUCUUUUGUCCGGAAAGAAAAGCUUCGGGUUAAUACCCCGGGGUUCUGACGGUGCCGGAAGAAUAAGCACCGGCUAACUUCGUGCCAGCAGCCGCGGUAAUACGAAGGGUGCAAGCGUUACUCGGAAUUACUGGGCGUAAAGCGUGCGUAGGUGGUUGUUUAAGUCUGAUGUGAAAGCCCUGGGCUCAACCUGGGAAUGGCAUUGGAAACUGGGCAGCUAGAGUGCGGUAGAGGGUAGUGGAAUUCCCGGUGUAGCAGUGAAAUGCGUAGAGAUCGGGAGGAACAUCUGUGGCGAAGGCGACUGCCUGGACCAGCACUGACACUGAGGCACGAAAGCGUGGGGAGCAAACA